CUUGGCUUCAUAACUUAUCAUCGGGAGAAUCACAUUCAAGGACUACUCAGCUUCCAUAUAGCAGAUGGAGAAAGGCCUUUUUUGGUUGACCUUUUGGGUACCCAAAACUAAGGUUGCCAAACCUAAAAAUCUGAGUGUACAGUGACAAAUCAUAUUGCACUUCAACUUUAGUUUGCAAAUUAAACACUUUCCUGGGGGAUCAAGUAGUUUGAUCUAGAAGGUCUUCAUUGCAGGGCCUUUGGCAUGUGAAACUAGAGACUUUAUCCACUCUUGAUUCUUCACCCAAAGCUCUUCAAGAAAGCUAUUCCAUACUUUUAACACGUUCAACUCAACUCGUCGUUGGGUGGCUGGCAAGCUGACGAGCUAGCUUGUCUUUUAUUUAUUUAUUUAUUUAUUUCCCCUCAUUUUUAAAUAUUUUUAUUUUCAAAUUAAGGUAUUAACUUGAAUACAUCAAAUUCUUGUAAUAUGUAUCCAUAAAUUUUGUGAUCAAAUUAACUUCAAAACUUUCAACUUAA